rnacentral:rRNA from 1 species
GCACCAGGAGCUUGCUCCUUGGGUGACGAGUGGCGGACGGGUGAGUAAUGUCUGGGAAACUGCCCGAUGGAGGGGGAUAACUACUGGAAACGGUAGCUAAUACCGCAUAACGUCUCAAGACCAAGGAGGGGGACCUUCGGGCCUCUUGCCUUCGGAUGUGCCCAGAUGGGAUUAGCUAGUAGGUGGGGUAACGGCUCACCUAUGCGACGAUCCCUAGCUGGUCUGAGAGGAUGACCAGCCACACUGGAACUGAGACACGGUCCACACUCCUACGGGAGGCAGCAGUGGGGAAUAUUGCACAAUGGGCGCAGGCCUGAUGCAGCCAUGCCGCGUGUAUGAAGAAGGCCUUCGGGUUGUAAAGUACUUUCAGCGAGGAGGAAGGUGUUGUGGUUAAUAACCGCACCAAUUGACGUUACUCGCAGAAUAAGCACCGGCUAACUCCGUGCCACCAGCCGCGGUAAUACGGAGGGUGCAAGCGUUAAUCGGAAUUACUGGGCGUAAAGCGCACGCAGGCGGUCUGUCAAGUCGGAUGUGAAAUCCCCGGGCUCAACCUGGGAACUGCAUCCGAAACUGGCAGGCUAGAGUCUUGUAGAGGGGGGUAGAAUUCCAGGUGUAGCGGUGAAAUGCGUAGAGAUCUGGAGGAAUACCGGUGGCGAAUGCGGCCCCCUGGACAAAGACUGACGCUCGGUGCGAAAGCGUGAGGAGCAAACAGGAUUAGAUACCCUGGUAGUCCACGCCGCAA